rnacentral:lncRNA from 1 species
CUAAACCUAAUGAAAUGAUGCAAUUCGAUAGGGCGAGACUUUCAUUUCACCUAAACCACUUAAGAGAACUUUAAACUAAAUGUCCCCAAACUAAAAUAUAAUAACUUGCUAAUGAUUUAGGGCUCCUAAUUAGUCUAGACAUCUCUUAAUUCUAGCAAACUUAUUCUUAAAUCCCAUCACUCUUCUCUCUCUAAAACUCAUCCUAAAUUGCAAAAAUUCACUCAAAUCCAUUUCAAAUAUGC